UACGUAGGGUGCGAGCGUUGUCCGGAAUUAUUGGGCGUAAAGAGCUCGUAGGCGGCCUGUCGCGUCGGAUGUGAAAGCCCGGGGCUUAACCCCGGGUCUGCAUUCGAUACGGGCAGGCUAGAGUUCGGUAGGGGAGAUCGGAAUUCCUGGUGUAGCGGUGAAAUGCGCAGAUAUCAGGAGGAACACCGGUGGCGAAGGCGGUUCUCUGGGCCUUACCUGACGCUGAGGAGCGAAAGCGUGGGGAGCAAACAGG
rnacentral:rRNA from 1 species